UACGAAGGGGGCUAGCGUUGUUCGGAAUUACUGGGCGUAAAGCGCACGUAGGCGGAUUGUUAAGUUAGGGGUGAAAUCCCGGGGCUCAACCCCGGAACUGCCUUUAAUACUGGCAAUCUCGAGUCCGAGAGAGGUGAGUGGAAUUCCGAGUGUAGAGGUGAAAUUCGUAGAUAUUGGGAAGAACACCGGUGGCGAAGGCGGCUCACUGGUCCGGUACUGACGCUGAGGUGCGAAAGCGUGGGGAGCAAACAGGG
rnacentral:rRNA from 1 species